AGAGCAGCUCCCUUUUAAGGAGACGGUCGUAGGUUCGAUUCCUACUGGGCG
rnacentral:tRNA from 1 species